rnacentral:snRNA from 1 species
AUUUCUCAGCCUAUGGCUAAGAUAAAAUAUAAUAUUUGUUGUUAUCAGUUUAAUAUCUGAUAUCUGGACCAUAUCCACUUUAAUAUGAAAUUUGCGUUUU